AUACGGAGGAUGCGAGCGUUAUCCGGAUUUAUUGGGUUUAAAGGGAGCGUAGGUGGAUUGUUAAGUCAGUUGUGAAAGUUGGCGGCUCAACCGUAAAAUUGCAGUUGACACUGGCAGUAUUGAGUACAGUAGAGGUGGGCGGAAUUCGGGGUGUAGCGGUGAAAUGCUUAGAUAUCACGAAGAACUCCGAUUGCGAAGGCAGCUCACUAGACUGUUACUGACACUGAUGCUCAAAAGUGUGGGUAUCAAACAGGAUUAGAUACCCUGGUAGUCCACACAGUAAACGAUGAAUACUCGCUGUUUGCGAUAUACAGUAAGCGGCCAAGCGAAAGCAUUAAGUAUUCCACCUGGGGAGUACGCCGGCAACGGUGAAACUCAAAGGAAUUGGCGGGG
rnacentral:rRNA from 1 species